rnacentral:lncRNA from 1 species
CAGGGAGGUGGAUGGGGUGGAAUGGGCAGUACUGAAGAAUGAGGCGGCUUCAAUAACACUGGUGGACCCAUGGAUGAAGGACCAGAUCUUGAUAAGGCCCCCCAGUAGAUCCUGAUGAAGACUCUGACAACAGUGCAGUUUAUGUGCAAGGAUUAAAUGACAAUGUGACUCUUGAUGACCUGGCAGACUUCUUUAAGCAAUGUGGGGUUG